rnacentral:rRNA from 1 species
AGCGUACGCUGGCGGCAGGCCUAACACAUGCAAGUCGAACGAACCUUUCGGGGUUAGUGGCGGACGGGUGAGUAACACGUGGGAACGUGCCUUUAGGUUCGGAAUAACUCAGGGAAACUUGUGCUAAUACCGAAUGUGCCCUUCGGGGGAAAGAUUAAUCGCCUUUAGAGCGGCCCGCGUCUGAUUAGCUAGUUGGUUGAGGUAAUGGCUCACCAAGGCGACGAUCAGUAGCUGGUCUGAGAGGAUGAUCAGCCACAUUGGGACUGAGACACGGCCCAAACUCCUACGGGAGGCAGCAGUGGGGAAUCUUGCGCAAUGGGCGAAAGCCUGACGCAGCCAUGCCGCGUGAAUGAUGAAGGUCUUAGGAUUGUAAAAUUCUUUCACCGGGGACGAUAAUGACGGUACCCGGAGAAGAAGCCCCGGCUAACUUCGUG